rnacentral:rRNA from 1 species
UGCGCAGGCGGUUGUGCAAGACAGAUGUGAAAUCCCCGGGCUUAACCUGGGAAUUGCAUUUGUGACUGCACGGCUAGAGUGUGUCAGAGGGGGGUAGAAUUCCACGUGUAGCAGUGAAAUGCGUAGAUAUGUGGAGGAAUACCGAUGGCGAAGGCAGCCCCCUGGGAUAACACUGACGCUCAUGCACGAAAGCGUGGGGAGCAAACA